rnacentral:rRNA from 1 species
AUACAGAGGGGGCAAGCGUUGUUCGGAAUUACUGGGCGUAAAGGGCGCGUAGGCGGCCGAUCAAGUCAGAUGUGAAAGUCCUGGGCUUAACCUGGGGACUGCAUUUGAUACUGAUUGGCUUGAAUUCGGGAGAGGAUAGCGGAAUUCCCAGUGUAGAGGUGAAAUUCGUAGAUAUUGGGAAGAACACCGGUGGCGAAGGCGGCUAUCUGGACCGACAUUGACGCUGAGGCGCGAAAGCGUGGGGAGCAAACAGGA